UUUUAGCCCAGAUAGCAGUGAAAAUCCUUUUGCUUUUUUUCUUUAGAAAAGCAAAAGAUUGUAACGUAUAGCUGGAUUAGCU
rnacentral:sRNA from 26 species